rnacentral:rRNA from 1 species
UACGUAGGGGGCAAGCGUUGUCCGGAAUCAUUGGGCGUAAAGAGCGUGUAGGCGGCCAGAUAAGUCCGCUGUGAAAUCUCGAGGCUCAACUUCGAGCUGUCGGUGGAAACCGUCUGGCUAGAGUCCGGAAGAGGAGAAUGGAAUUCCUGGUGUAGCGGUGAAAUGCGCAGAUAUCAGGAAGAACACCCGUGGCGAAGGCGGUUCUCUGGGACGGUACUGACGCUGAGACGCGAAAGCGUGGGGAGCAAACAGG